CUCGUAGGCGGUUCGUCGCGUCCGGUGUGAAAGUCCAUCGCUUAACGGUGGAUCCGCGCCGGGUACGGGCGGGCUUGAGUGCGGUAGGGGAGACUGGAAUUCCCGGUGUAACGGUGGAAUGUGUAGAUAUCGGGAAGAAUACCAAUGGCGAAGGCAGGUCUCUGGGCCGUUACUGACGCUGAGGAGCGAAAGCGUGGGGAGCGAACA
rnacentral:rRNA from 1 species